rnacentral:rRNA from 1 species
UACAGAGGUCCCAAGCGUUGUUCGGAUUCACUGGGCGUAAAGGGUGCGUAGGCGGUCGGGUAAGUCUGAUGUGAAAUCUCCAAGCUCAACUUGGAAAUGGCAUCGGAUACUAUUCGGCUCGAGGAAUGGAGGGGAGACUGGAAUACUUGGUGUAGCAGUGAAAUGCGUAGAUAUCAAGUGGCACACCAGUGGCGAAGGCGAGUCUCUGGACAUUUCCUGACGCUGAGGCACGAAAGCCAGGGGAGCAAACGGG